UGCGAGACCUACAAGUCGAGCAGGUACGAAAGUAGGACAUAGUGAUCCGGUGGUUCUGUAUGGAAGGGCCAUCGCUCAACGGAUAAAAGGUACUCCGGGGAUAACAGGCUGAUACCGCCCAAGAGUUCAUAUCGACGGCGGUGUUUGGCACCUCGAUGUCGGCUCAUCACAUCCUGGGGCUGAAGCCGGUCCCAAGGGUAUGGCUGUUCGCCAUUUAAAGUGGUACGCGAGCUGGGUUUAGAACGUCGUGAGACAGUUCG
rnacentral:rRNA from 1 species